CCUACGGGAUGCAGCAGUGGGGAAUAUUGCACAAUGGGCGCAAGCCUGAUGCAGCCAUGCCGCGUGUAUGAAGAAGGCCUUCGGGUUGUAAAGUACUUUCAGCGGGGAGGAAGGUGUUGUGGUUAAUAACCACAGCAAUUGACGUUACCCGCAGAAGAAGCACCGGCUAACUCCGUGCCAGCAGCCGCGGUAUUACGGAGGGUGCAAGCGUUAAUCGGAAUUACUGGGCGUAAAGCGCACGCAGGCGGUCUGCCAAGUCGGAUGUGAAAUCCCCGGGCUCAACCUGGGAACUGCAUUCGAAACUGGCAGGCUGGAGUCUUGUAGAGGGGGGUAGAAUACCAGGUGUAGCGGUGAAAUGCGUAGAGAUCUGGAGGAAUACCGGUGGCGAAGGCGGCCCCCUGGACAAAGUCUGACGCUCAGGUGCGAAAGCGUGGGGAGCAAACAGGAUUAGAUACCCCCGUAGUC
rnacentral:rRNA from 1 species